rnacentral:misc_RNA from 1 species
GAAUAACGAUAUAACGCCUGUCGGUCGCCUGAAUAAUCUGGGUAAUGAACAGGCUGGAAAACAUCGCGACAAACGCCGUAACGGUGACCGACUGACCGGCGACGCCCUCGGAGAUCCCCAGAUCCUGCGCCAUCGGCGUCAACAGACUAACGGGCAAAAACUCAACGGUAAUCAGGCAGGCGACACAAAACGCCACGGCAAAAACGGCUGACCAGUUAGGCCUGGCAACCCCAUCAGCGCGGAAUUUUUCUGCGAUAUUUUCAUUCAUUGUGGUUACCUGCGUCGUUUUAGUGCGGAAAAUCCACGCAGUGUAACAUUACAAAAUGUGAUCUGAUUAACAUUUUAGCAACUGACAUUGUUGCGCUGCAUUUUGCGAGGCUGGUCGAGCGU